GAAGCUUUGUGUACAUUCUUUGCAAAUACACAGGCAUUCAUCAGAGACACUUCAGCUGCCCCAAAUCACAGUUUUCCUAUGACAACAAACAUGUCAAGAUGUGUGAGUUAUGUGCCAUGCAAAGGAAAAAGGUGCCUGACUAUGAUGGGGUUUUUGCUGCAGAAAAAAUUUGAAUGGGAUGUGACAAGGAUAGGAAAGUGCUCUGUAUUGUCACCUGUGUCUCCUUGUGCAAUGUCUUGCAAAAGAAGUUACUGUAGGAAUUUGCCCUAA
rnacentral:lncRNA from 1 species